rnacentral:rRNA from 1 species
AGGACGUGCUAAUCUGCGAUAAGCGCCGGUAAGGUGAUAUGAACCGUUAUAACCGGCGAUUUCCGAAUGGGGAAACCCAGUGUGACUCGUCACACUAUCAUUAACUGAAUCCAUAGGUUAAUGAGGCGAACCGGGGGAACUGAAACAUCUAAGUACCCCGAGGAAAAGAAAUCAACCGAGAUUCCCCCAGUAGCGGCGAGCGAACGGGGAGGAGCCCAGAGCCUGAAUCAGCAUGUGUGUUAGUGGAAGCGUCUGGAAAGGCGCGCGAUACAGGGUGACAGCCCCGUACACAAAAGCGCAUGUGCUGUGAGCUCGAUGAGUAGGGCGGGACACGUGGUAUCCUGUCUGAAUAUGGGGGGACCAUCCUCCAAGGCUAAAUACUCCUGACUGACCGAUAGUGAACCAGUACCGUGAGGGAAAGGCGAAAAGAACCCCGGCGAGGGGAGUGAAAAAGAACCUGAAACCGUGUACGUACAAGCAGUGGGAGCCCCACCACUAAGCCAGUGGUGAACUCCACAUACGCAUCCUUUGCUGAGGAUACGGUUAACGGAGCGAAAGCGACGUUCAACCGCAAAAGAAGCAGAGGGGGCUUAGUGGUGGGGUGACUGCGUACCUUUUGUAUAAUGGGUCAGCGACUUAUAUUCUGUAGCAAGGUUAACCGAAUAGGGGAGCCGGAGGGAAACCGAGUCUUAAUUGGGCGUUAAGUUGCAGGGUAUAGACCCGAAACCCGGUGAUCUAGCCAUGGGCAGGUUGAAGGUUGGGUAACACUAACUGGAGGACCGAACCGACUAAUGUUGAAAAAUUAGCGGAUGACCUGUGGCUGGGGGUGAAAGGCCAAUCAAACCGGGAGAUAGCUGGUUCUCCCCGAAAGCUAUUUAGGUAGCGCCUCGUGAAUUCAUCUCCGGGGGUAGAGCACUGUUUCGGCUAGGGGGCCAUCCCGGCUUACCAACCCGAUGCAAACUGCGAAUACCGGAGAAUGUUAUCACGGGAGACACACGGCGGGUGCUAACGUCCGUCGUGAAGAGGGAAACAACCCAGACCGCCAGCUAAGGUCCCAAAGUCAUGGUUAAGUGGGAAACGAUGUGGGAAGGCCCAGACAGCCAGGAUGUUGGCUUAGAAGCAGCCAUCAUUUAAAGAAAGCGUAAUAGCUCACUGGUCGAGUCGGCCUGCGCGGAAGAUGUAACGGGGCUAAACCAU